rnacentral:rRNA from 1 species
GAUGAACGCUGGCGGCGUGCCUAAUACAUGCAAGUCGAGCGAACGGACGCGAAUCUUGCUUCUCUGAUGUUAGCGGCGGACGGGUGAGUAACACUUGGAUAACCUACCUAUAAGACUGGGAUCACUUCGGGAAACCGUAGCUAAUACCGGAUAAUAUUUUGCACCGCACGGUUCAAAUGUGAAAGACGGUCUUGCUGUCACUUAUCGAUGGAUCCGCGCUGCAUUAGCUAGUUGGUAAGGUAACGGCUUACCAAGGCAACGAUGCAUAGCCGACCUGAGAGGGUGAUCGGCCACACUGGAACUGAGACACGGUCCAGAAGCCUAAGGGAGGCAGCAGUAGGGAAUCUUCCGCAAUGGGAGAAAGCCUGACGGAGCAACGCCGCGUGAGUGAUAAAGGUCUUCGGAUAGUAAAAAUCUGUUAUUAGGGAAGAACAUAUGUGUAAGUAACUGUGAACAUCUUGACGGUACCUAAUCAGAAAGCCAAGGCUAACUACGUG